UACGAAGGGGGCUAGCGUUGUUCGGAAUUACUGGGCGUAAAGUGCGCGCAGGCGGCUAUCCAAGUCAGUGGUGAAAGCCCGGAGCUCAACUCCGGAACUGCCCAUUGAAACUGUUUAGCUUGAGGAUGAGAGAGGUGAGUGGAAUUCCCAGUGUAGAGGUGAAAUUCGUAGAUAUUCGGAAGAACACCAGUGGCGAAGGCGACUGACUGGACAAGUAUUGACGCUGAGGUGCGAAAGCGUGGGGAGCAAACAGG
rnacentral:rRNA from 1 species